rnacentral:hammerhead_ribozyme from 1 species
AUCCAGCUGACGGGUCCCGAGUAGGACGAAACGCGCGUCCUGGAU